AAAAUUGAAAUAAAGCAUUUCUGUUGUAACCUUUUUUUUUUCUUCGUGCUCUGCAUCAACUUCAUCAUCUUCAUCGUACUUCAUCGUUCUUCAUCGUCUCUGUUAAAUCCAUCACCACUAUUAUCUUCGCUCCCGAUUCACAAUACAUCGCCAACAUUAUGUCCUCCAAUAAACCCAAAGGAUUCAAUUGAUUUUCUUUUAAAUAUAUAGUGAACCCAAGGGAUAUAAUUUUAAACAACGAUCGGAUCAAUUGAUUUCUUCGAUUUAUCAUGAGAUCAUUAUCAUGGCGGCUUCUGAGUUACUAUAGAGACAGAUUUUUGCGUAGUAGAGAUAGCCUAUUAAGGUGACAAGGAAUGGUGGAAGGUGGUGAAGCAGAAGGGUUUCGGUUGAAUCGGGAUGGGUUUGGUGGUUGCGCGGCGGAGGAGAGCCAUCGAAGAUGAGUUAGGAGGGUGGGGAGCGACUAUUUAGCCAUAGCGGUGGAGACGGCAAAGGAGUAGAUCGGAGACGAUGACAUAGAAGAGAUAUUUAGAAGAUUCGAAAUGGAGAUGUAUGUGCUCUUUGAAGUUGUUCAUCACCGAAGAGAGAGAGAACAGAGAAGGCUGCGGUGGAGAUCGAAGCGUUUGAGUUCAGCUUUUAGAGGGCAAUGUCGUCAUUUUAGUGCAAAAUAAAUACCUAAAUCUGAAAAGACGUAAAAGCUUUGAUGGAAGGAGGAGGAAACGAUAAAAGCUUGACGAUGAGUCAAGAGGACAAGAAAAAUUUAUCUCAGGUUCCAGAACCGUCACCAUCGACAGACGGAGGUUCUUCUUCUAUCAAGUACCCGAUUUUGAAUUCAAGCAACUAUAUUGUAUGGUCUAUGAAGAUGAGAAUCCUGCUUAGGGUUCACAAAUCAUGGGAUGUAAUAGAAAAAGGAAGCUUUGAUGAGACAAAGAACGAUUUGGCAAUCGCUCUUAUCAUACAGUCUAUCCCUGAAACUCUUACUCUCCAAGUUGGAACUCUAGAGACUUCAAAGGAGAUAUGGGAAGCUAUCAGA